CGUUACCAGCUGGGUGGUUCACAGGCACCCCAAACUCUCGGAGCCAGAGUCCGGCAGCUCCAAAAUGGAAAUCGCAUGAAAGCCAACCUCACAGAAUACUAUGUUGCUACGGAGAAAAUGUUUUAAAAGUAAAGCAAAUUAUAAAUGUAACAGGCAGUCAGACGUGCCCAGGGUGUUGAUCCUAUGUAUAGAUCCAACACACAGACAUUGAUGUUUUUGUUGUUGGGCCAGGAAGAAAAUGCUAAGUAUGAAUUUCCAGUUUUCUCCAGUCCCUUUCCUGUUGCUAAAUGAAGAUCAUUCCAUCAUUGUGUAUCAAAUGCAGCAUUUGUGAAAAUACCUCCCGAUCAUCUUUCACAGGAAUUCUUUCCAAGUGAGAAAGCCACCAUAAAAGAAGAAGGCCACCAUUGUAUUUAUGAACUAUGCCCUGAUAUAUUUCAGGAGGCUGGUGAACACUCAUUGUAACAUUUAAGACUUUGUACAAUUUAAUCACAUUCAGGAGUAAUGAAUGAAGUUAAGACUGACAUAAAGCCCAGUAUUCUCAGCAGGAUGGCAUGUGGCAAAUUCACAGCAAUAAAAUAACAACAUACAUUGAAACGUGUGUGUGUGUGUGUGUGUGUGCAGGGGUGUUACUAGCAUCUAAUAAGUAGAGGCCAGGGAGGCUGCCAAGUAUCUUAUGAUGUAUGGGACAGCACCCACAACAAAUAGUUAUCCAGCCAAAAAUGUCGCUAGUGCCAAGGCAGGGAAACUCUCAUCUAACCUCAUAUCACAAAGCAUCAUGGUGGUUUUCCCUACUCAGAGAGGCCCCUAUUCUUUGGUACUUCAAAAGGACACCACAAGAUGUAUGCUAUUUAGGCAACAAUCAUUUAUAAACACAGAAUGAAAAGGACACUUGUGAGUCCCCAACUGCAAUUUGAACUCCAUUAUUCAAUUCAAAAUCCAUAAUAUUAAUACAACAUCAUACAAGUGUGAUUGCAAAACAAAAUUCCAAAACCAUAAUUCAUCAUGCCACAAGUAUCUGAUUAGCUACUUGGUAUAAGCCAUUCUCCAUUAUAUAUCCCCAAAUUAUCUAAUUGUAUUAAAGACAUAAUUCUGACAUUUCCAUCCUGUUGUGUAAAAUCUCUAAGGAUAGACUUAAAAUGAUUUUCCCUUCUGAUUUACUCAAAAUAAAUAAAUCACUAACCUCCACAUCCAGCUCUUGUAUCCUUUUUUCCACCCCACCUCCUGUCCCCCCAGUCCUGAGCUACAAUCAACUUAGCACUUCAUUUUCACAUUUUUUUCCCAUUAGAUUGAAAAUAUCUCAUGGGAUGGCAUCAACUUUAACUUCAAAAUAUGGGAAAACUUGGAGUUAGAAAACCUGAAUCUACUUUUAUUUUCUACUGGUUGUGAUUAAGCAGGUUACUUAAUCUCACUGAGUCCCAUUUUGCUUGAAUACAAAAUGACCCAGCUCCAAGAACCACUCUGAUGACCUCAAAGAGUUGCUGUGCAGAUUGAAUUUAAAGCAUGUACCUUGAGGUCUCUGAAAAUUUUGAGUUACCAGACAUAAAAUAUACAAAAGUAACAACAGUGUCCUUGUGGUAGGUAGCACCUACAAUGGCCCCAGUAAUCUACCUACCUCAGUGCUACUCACACUCUUGUGCCAUUUCCUCCCUUCGAGGGCCAGCUGUACAUGUUAAUUAAUGUCUAACAAAUAGAAUAUGACAGAGGUGGUGGGAAGUCAUUUUUAAGAUGAGGCUCUAGAGAAAAAGUGGCUUUUAUCUUGGGUGCUGUGUUCUGCUCUCUCUUGGGUCACUUGCUCUGGAAGGAAACAGUUGCCAUGCUGUGAAUCAACCUUGUGGAGAGGUCCACGUAAGUGCCCUUGAGGUCUUCUAGCAGCUUUGUGAGUGGGCUUAGAAGAGCAUCCUCCAAAGGUGUAGCCCCAGCCAACACCUUUGCUUGCAAACUCUUAAGAGACCCUAAACCAGAAGCACCCAGCUAAUCUGCUCCCAGAUUCCUAACCCACUAAGACAUCACAAAUGUUUAAUGCUUCCAGACACUAAGUUUGGGAAUUGUUGCUGGAAUGAGCUCAAAGUCUUAACAUCCUUCCUCAGCUUGGUGAUAACUUACGAUUGUUUUCACUGGGUUUCUCCACCCAUGGCUUAGUUGUCUCCUGUUUUCAUUUCUUCAGACUAGUCCUAGCCCACAGGCUGCUCACUUUGUCCUGGAGUGUCAUCGAAGAGAAGUGUGUGUCACUGACUCUGUCAAAGCAACCAAACUUUGGGGAAGACAUACCUCAGGAAAGGUUGCUGAGAACUUGAAAUUUCAGACCUUCAUUCAGAAUUCUCUUAGUUCGUCAUUAUCUUCGUGCUCUGCUACUAAUGAAAAAAGUGCAAAAUGAAGAACUUGAGAGAAAAGUGAAGCAUUCACUUAACUCUUUCAUAUUCAAAUAUUAACAAAUCUCUUUAAAAUAGAUCCCUAUGUAAUUCCACGAACAAUGUUAAUUUAGGAAAAUUACAUUUAAAACAGUGGACUACCUUUGGUUUAUUUUCUCUCUUUUACUAUGUUUGAUAAUAAUACUGUUUAUUGAUAUGUUUAGCUACAUACCUUUAUUUCUGCACAUUAUAUUUCAAUAUAUUUGGCCUUUUUGUUUGUAUGAAGUAUAUGCAUGUGUGUAAGGCACAGCUUCUGCAUGCCUUUACGUGAACAUUACUAAUAAUUCUUGUGAGCCAAUUCAUUCUACUAUGUGCUCUUCUCUCUAUUCCUCAGUUGCUAAAGUCAACCCAUGGGUUAGGCUUUAUUUUAAGUAGAUUCAUGCCUGUGUCUUUGGAAAUGCCAUAAAUUGUCAGCUCUCAUAGGCUUAGUGCACUAUAUGAAGAAUUUAAAAAUUCCUGGCUGGGCGCGGUGGCUCAUGCCUGUAAUCCCAGCACUUUGGAAGGCCGAGGGAGGCAGAUCACGAGGUCAGGAGAUCAAGACCAUCCUGGCUAAUACGGUGAAACCCCGUCUCUACUAAAAACAAUACAAAAGAAAAAUUAGCUGGGCAUGGUGGCAG
rnacentral:lncRNA from 10 species